GCCUUUGUGGUGUAACGAUUAGCACACUCUACGCGCAUUCGAGAGGUCCAGGGUUCGAGUCCCCGCGAGGGCA
rnacentral:tRNA from 1 species